GACGAACGCUGGCGGCGUGCCUAACACGUGCAAGUCGAACGGGACUUAGUGGAAUGCGGCUUCGGCCAAAGGAAAUUAAGUUUAGUGGCGAACGGGUGAGUAACGCGUGAGGAACCUGCCUUUCAGUGGGGGACAACAGUUGGAAACGACUGCUAAUACCGCAUAAUGUAUUCGAGUGGCAUCGCUUGAAUACCAAAGCUUUAUGUGCUGAAAGAUGGCCUCGCGUCUGAUUAGCUAGUUGGAGGGGUAACGGCCCACCAAGGCGACGAUCAGUAGCCGGACUGAGAGGUUGAACGGCCACAUUGGGACUGAGACACGGCCCAGACUCCUACGGAGGCAGCAGUGGGGGAUAUUGCACAAUGGAGGAAACUCUGAUGCAGCAACGCCGCGUGAGGGAAGAAGGUCUUCGGAUUGUAAACCUUGUUUUGGUGACGAAUAAUGACGGUAGCCAAAGNGAAGCCAACGGGCUAAACUAACCGUG
rnacentral:rRNA from 1 species